AACAGUUUACUAUCAUAUCUCUAACCAAAAAUAAAAUAAAAUUUAAAAUAAUAUAUGGGCUUUGAAAAUUUUCAUUAGGCCGUUUUAUGUUUUGGUUUCUCACUCUUUCUGAUUUUCAUUCAACAAAUUAAACCCUAUUUCUUGUUUCUCUCUUCUCACUCACAAUUGUAAUUGGCGAAUUGUCUCAAAGAUUGCGUAAAGAGGGCUAUUCAACAGUUUAGCGAAUUUUCUAUCUUCAAGAUCGACCUACAAGAUGGUUUAGAGUAUGCGCAAGAGUUCUGAGAAUAAGGGCUCGACAAGAUUGCUCAAACUUUGUUGUAAAAAAGUAAAAACCAGCAUGCAAAAGGAAAGGAGAACGUGAAUUCUGGCGAAGAUGAUCAAGACUAUGUGCCUGAUGGAGAUAUUUGUGACCUUGAGGAGUUUGAGAUGUCUCGAGAGAAAGGGGUUUUAAUUGAAGCAACAAACUCUAUACCUAAGAAGAAGGUAAGAACUAGAGAGAAACCACCUAGGAAGAAUAAGAAGCAGCCAUUGUUCCCAUCUAUGACAAUAGACGAUUUCCUUGUCGCUCAACAUCAAAUGGAUCCAGUUGAAGCACGACAAAUACAGCAAGAUGGAUAACAGACAAAGAUCUAAGUGUCUUCUUUAGACCAUUGCUCCAACUAAAACGACAAGGAGAAUCUAUUUCCGCUCAAGGGCCUGCUGCUUCUGGUGCAGGGCGUGCUGCUACUAGUGCAGGACAUUUAAUUUGGUGGCAGUUAGAGAAAGUGUGUGUCGGCUAAAGAGAUAGGAUAUAGAAGAUUAGAGAUCAUAUCUUAUAGAACUUACGUGUCAUGCUUUGUCUAAAGUAUAUGUGAGGAAACUAUAUAUCCAAGUAUGAAGUGCUCCAUCAAACUCCUGAAGAUCGAUUGGAUUUUGCGCAAAAAUAUUAGAAUGGUCUUUGAAGAUAAAUUUUGUAGAAUUUGGUUUUGGAAUUUUUAUUAGUUUAAAGGAUGAAAUAUAUAAAUUGAAUGUUUUUGCUAUCAAGUUGUAAUAAAUUGUUAACUAUGUACAACUUUUUGGAAAGCUUAUUUCUAAAUGAAAGUUUAUUGAUUA